rnacentral:rRNA from 1 species
AGAGUUUGAUCAUGGCUCAGAUUGAACGCUGGCGGUAGGCUUAACACAUGCAAGUCGAGCGGAAACGAAGAAUAGCUUGCUAUUCUGGCGUCGAGCGGCGGACGGGUGAGUAAUGCUUGGGAAUCUGCCUAGUCGAGGGGGACAACAGUUGGAAACGACUGCUAAUACCGCAUACGACCUACGGGUGAAAGGGGGCCUCUUCUUGAAAGCUCUCGCGACUAGAUGAGCCCAAGUGGGAUUAGCUUGUUGGUGAGGUAAGAGCUCACCAAGGCGACGAUCCCUAGCUGGUCUGAGAGGAUGAUCAGCCACACUGGAACUGAGACACGGUCCAGACUCCUACGGGAGGCAGCAGUGGGGAAUAUUGCACAAUGGGCGAAAGCCUGAUGCAGCCAUACCGCGUGUAUGAAGAAGGCCUUAGGGUUGUAAAGUACUUUCAGCGAGGAGGAAAGGUGAUAAAUUAAUACUUUAUCACUGUGACGUUACUCGCCGAAGAAGCACCGGCUAACUCCGUGGCAGCAGCCGCGGUGAUACGGAGGGUGCAAGCGUUAAUCGGAAUUACUGGGCGUAAAGCGCAUGCAGGCGGUUUGUUAAGCGAGAUGUGAAAGACCCGGGAUCAACCUGGGAACUGCAUUUCGAACUGGUAAACUAAAGUUCUUGAGAGGGUGGUAGAAUUUCAGGUGUAGCGGUGAAAUGCGUAAGAAUCUGAAGGAAUACCAGUGGCGAAAGCGGCCACCUGGCAAGUAACUGACGCUCAAAUGCGAAAGCGUGGGUAGCAAACGGGAUUAGAUACCCCGGUAGUCCACGCCGUAAACGAUGUCUACUCGGAGUCUGGUCCCUUGAGGACUGGGCUCUUAAGCUAACGCAUUAAGUAGACCGCCUGGGGAGUACGGCCGCAAGGUUAAAACUCAAAUGAAUUGACGGGGGCCCGCACAAGCGGUGGAGCAUGUGGUUUAAUUCGAUGCAACGCGAAGAACCUUACCUACUCUUGACAUC